rnacentral:snRNA from 1 species
GUACUCGCUUCGGCAGUACAUAUGCAAAAAUUGGAACGAUACAGAGAAGAUUAGCAUGGCCCCU